rnacentral:lncRNA from 1 species
ACGAUAACUUUUCCAAAAGGAAUAUUGAAGAACCUUUGUGUCCGAGUUGGUACCUUAUAUGCUCUAGCAGACUUCGUAGUGGUAGAGACCGGAAAUGAUGAGAGGGCACCCAUCAUCUUAGGGAGGCCAUUCUUAAACACCACGGGAGCUAUCAUCUACGCAAGUGUUGCCAAGAUCAGUUUCUACGUCAAAGGGAGGAAGGAGACAUUUUUCUUCAAGAACAAGACUACACAAAUUCCAUAUCAAUCCAGACGUGAAUCAAGGAAGAGGACCAACAGGAGGAACAGGAACAAGCAAGUGUGGACCGAGUCAGCUAAGAUGGUCACUGCAGUUCAUGGAGGCCAUGAUCACCAACUUAAGUCACCGCUUUUGACCAAGAAGGACGACCCAGGAAUGCCAAGCAUCUACUGCUCCAUAAAUGGAUACAACUUCUACAAGGCAACAUGUGACACGGGAUCGGGCGUCAACAUAAUGGCCGCAGUCACCUAUCGGCUCUUGUUCGGAACCAUGCCACUAAGACCAACAUACAUUCAGCUCCAGAUGGCAGAUCAGACAUUUCGAGAAGUUAAAGGAAUAGUAACUGAUGUCCUAGUCAAAAUAGACGAUCACUUUGUCUACACAGACUUUCAAGUUAUUGACAUGGGAGAAGACGAGUAUGAUCCACCCAUCAUCCUUGGAAGACUGUUCCUCAGCACCAUUAAAGCAAUUAUCUACAUUGGAACUGGAGAAGUCCAUAUGCACUUCCCCUCAGAAAAGGUACGCCGUUAUUUUACUUACCCUAGCUAUAUCAUUGAAGAAUCUAAGCAGGUAAGAAAGCGACGCAACCGCAACCAGAGGAGGCAAAUCAUCAAGGACGGAUGGGCAGACUAUGAAGGAGAAGUUAUAAGGUCAGAAGACGUAGAGUUUAAAUAGAAUUAUCUAGAGGAGAUCGAAGCACCGAGUCAGGUAUGGAAAAUGAAGAUAACUAUACAUGAAGAGGAGGCGCUGCCGGAAGUACCGACUACGCCACCCAACGAACCUCAGGACAAUUGAGAAAAUGGAGAGUCCCGUUCGAAGGACUUAAAAACACCGAACGCCUUGCCAAGAGAUAAACUUGGUAGUUAUCCUUUCCCUUUCAAUUAUUUUAAACAGUUUGCUUAGUUAAUGAUGUUCAUGCUAUCCUAAAAAGAAAAUAAAAAAAAUAUGAAAAAACAGUAAGCCCCUGUGAUUAUACGAGUGUCAUAAAACCCAUAAGUACAUUCAUUGUGGUGGCAUAAAAAUAAAAUAAAUAUUUUUCUGCUUUAUAAAAAUGAAAAUGAAAAACAGGGAGUAAUAUUUAUUAAGGAGUCUCAACAUGAUAAAAGCUAGAUAUUUAUGCUAACACUUAACCAGUUCCACAAGCUUUGGUGUCUAUUUGAACUCCACAGAAUUUAAGAAUCAAGAAGACUGGCAGACGGAGGACAUUCUAAUCGCUGUCAGAAUGCUGCUGACUUUCAAAUACACAUCUGCCACCAGCUAGCUACAUCAAGAGAAAUUACGUCAAAAUUCAGCUUGGGGGAGAGCACCCCCAUUUAUCUCGAUAAGUAUUUCUAUCUAUCUAUCUAUCUAUCUUUAUACUUAUAUUAUUUUAGAAUAUAAAUAUACAUAACUAUGAAAAACCAAAUAAAGAGUUUGUGCUUAUAUAUAUAUAUCUUUUGCUUAGUGUGUUUAAUAAAUAAAUAAAGUGGCUAUGCUAAUCUGUAUCUUAACAAUAAAACUCUAGCAUGGAUAUGAUGAAUAGUUGCUCUGCCUAAUUUGCACAUUUUAAGUUCUCUCUCAAGUUUAGAUAUAACUGUUAUAAUUUAAAGCUUGCUCUAGACCUAAACUUAUGGGAUGAAAACUUGAUCUGAAGUCUAAGUUGUUAACGGAUAUGAUAUGGGAAGGCUGAGCUGCUGUUUAUCUGUUUCUAGAGAUGCUAGAAUUCUGGAGAAUUUUAUCUUUGAAAAUCUUUAAAAUGUUGCAUGAUGAGUUCCUGUAUGAUGAGAGUUUAAAUUCAUACCACAGCCAUAUUUACAUGCUUGCUAGACUUUGAGCCACACAUUUACUAUUUACUGCUUAUGAGCAUUGAGUGUGGUCAAGCUGUGUAGACCCUUAGGAGCUUGUCAUGUGGUUAAAUCAAGAUUUCACUUGCACGUUCACUCAUAUAUACUACUUCUAUUCCGGAAGUACCAUCCACAUAUAUCCACCCAUUUCCAUCUCCAGAAUCACCCUAAAAAUAUUCUACUCCUAAUCCGGGAGAGAAUAGCCAAAAAUAUCUCUGUUUUUCCCUUGUGAAAUAAAUGCUCAAGUUAUCUUGUUACUACCACUUGCUAUAUUAUCUCAAGAGAUGAGUGCUUAUAAAAAAAUAAAAAAAAAAGAGAAAAAAAAUAAAUACGAGGAAAUAAAAAGGAGCAAGUGCUCGGAACCUCGAAAGAAAAGAAAAAGUGAGACGAGAGGUAAAAUAGACAAGUGUCCGACAGUAGAAUUAGGGGUACAAGAUACCCACCUGAGAGGAAAGAAAAAGAAGAGCAUCUCAUUCUCCUCAUAAAGUUUCAAAAAGCAAGGAAGGUAUGUAUCCCCUCAAAGAGCAAAGUAGAAUUAGACUUCCACCACCAUUGUUUCCACCAUUGUUAUCACCAUUGUCACCAUACACCAUUCAUUCGCCACACAUGCACAUCUUGAUUAAACUUAUUGAUUUGUUUCUUUGGAUCCAUGGUUUGACUAUGCAAUAAAUGUCUUGUAAGUAUGUAUACUUUAUCUCCCACCUAUGAGCUCCAGAUAUUAAAGCCUUAUUAGAGUAGGGUGAGAGAGAAGGCAAUGUCACUAUGCUUUAUACCACAAAUACUACAUAUCUUGAGAGAAGGCAUAUACCAUCACUGCCUUGGUAAGGAUCCAGAAAUACCACAAAAGAGAGAUCUGAGAGAAUCAUACAAGGAAUCUCUAAGUUUUAUUUAAAAAUCUGCAAAAACCCCAGAGCUAUAGCUGAUCAAGAAUAAGAGACAUGGCACUUGACUAGACUGUUCUAUCUUUUAACUACUCAAGACAGAAGUGACAGUUACAAGUCCCAUGGUGAAGGUAAAGUAAGUAAGUUUUAAGUCUUGACAGUUUACUCUAACUCAGAGAUAAGAUCUUAUUUAAAAAGCAUGUGUACCGCCAAUUUUUUAAAAUAUUGUAACAACUUAUGAUCCAUAGCUGAGUCUAUCCUUGCUUAGGGACGAGCAUGAGGUAAGCUUGGGGGAGUUUGUUGACGGUCCUUAAGUAUCAAAUUUAAUUAUCAAAUAAACAAAGAAAAGGAUCCAAAUGAAAUCAACAUCUAGACUUAGGGUUUUAUAUGAUAGAAUUCCACGAGUUUUGGUGUUUGUCUAUUUCUGCAGGGGGUUAUCAGGAAAUACGGAAGAAAGACCCACACGUCGGGAUUACAUAGAGAUAUUAACGUGCAACGCAAUUAUCUUACAUCUAGAAGACUCCAGAAGCCACGAGACCGAAGCGGAGGCGAAACGGGGCCAGAGGCAGUGCGCCCGCCCUCCUGCCCUGGGCGCCCGCCCCCUCUAGGAGUCCAAUCAGGACUCUACUUCGUGGGAGAUCUCCACCGACCUAAAGGAUGAAUCUAAACCAUACAAUCUAUGUCGGUUUGAUCCAACGGCCCAUAUUCACUUGAAGGGACUAUAAAACCAGACCCCCUGGCCCCUGGAGGAGAGAGCCUCUCAACCCUAAUUCAUUGUUCUUCAAGGGAGAAGAAGCCUCUGAUCAAGAUUAGAGCCACCACAUCAAUUAAAUAUCUAGAUUAGCAUAGCUACAUAGGAUUAGAACUAGAAGAAGUCAAUCUUCGAUUGGUUUCCGGAUCUGUCAGGAGGAUUCUUGGUAAUUCUCUAAUUGUGCUCCUAAUUGCUUUCUAAUUAUCUUUGUUCUUCAAUAUUAUGAAUAUGACUUUGUUCUACUUCAAUAUAUUGCUUAUGACUUUGCUCCACUUGCUUAUAUUCAAGAUUAUAUUGUUCUUGGUUUAUCAUAGUUAUGUACUUGGCUUAGUUAGAUUAGAUCUAUAUACAUGCUUAGGAUCGUAUAGCGUUUAUCCAUCGGAUCCAUGGGUAAAUGAUAGAUAUUGUGUAGGCGUGGUGCUUAUACCGUAUUUAUCUGCGAUUGUACCCAAUAUGCCAGAUCGUGGGGUGGUUCGUGAUAGUGACAGCUUCAUUGAUUCUUAUAUAGUCCCCCUCUCGUGUAUUGGGCUGGCAGAGCAACAUUAUUACAGGGGAGUGAUUGCUAUGUUUCUCAUAUUCCUUGCUAAUAUCACUAUGCAUGGGCGUAGUCUUGUCUCACAAUGAUUGCUAAGUAUGCUUGCACUAACUAUGAUAUGCUAGACUAUAUAGUUGAGAAUAACUUAGGGAAUAUUCUCGUAGUUCGUUCUUAUACCAUGCUAAUGACUUUCUAGAGUAUCUAAUUGAGGUGAUUAUCAUAUUUAUUAUGUGGCUAGAUCAGAUUAGUUAUCCUUGUCACUAUUAUUAUUUCAUAUAUCUUUUAUGUGACACUUAUCCCUAUAUGAAGAGUUAGAUAUAAUGUUCUCAAAUAUACAUGCAAUGAUAGAUGCUCAAUCUCAUAUUCUAUUCUGUAAUCAAUAUUGAUGAUUGCUAAUCCCUUCCCAGUGGUAAAAAUAUAAAUAACGAUACCUGGAAUACUUCCCGGUUAAAAUGCUACAUCGGUAUUAAUCUGUGCGCUUGCAGAUCCCAUUCAUUAUUUAUUUAGAAGAGCAAUUGCAUAUUUGAAUACCGCGUCUCUUAUAUCAUGCUGGGGAUGACAACUUGGCUUAAGUGGUGUGAGGGAUAGGUUUGGCAUUUUUGGCACCGUUACUAGAUUUAGAGUACUUAGUCUACUUUUGGUAAUGAUGUUAAGAAUACCCAACAGUGGGUAUAGAUGUAAUUCUAGGUAUGAAGUGGAUGAGUGGCAACGGAGUUCUUAUCGACACCACCACUCGUGUAGUGAUGUUGAGAGACCCGAAUACCAAAGAGGCGUUCUUAGUGCAACUUCCUUGGGAUAUUCAUAUCCAUAGCACGAUGAAUGCAGUUACAUCUAGGACCAUCAAGGAUAUUCCAGUGGUGUGUGAGUUCCUGGAUGUAUUCCCUGAUGAUUUACCCGGGCUUCCUCCAGAUCGGGAUGUGGAGUUCAAAAUUGAAUUGAUCCCAGGUACCGCUCCUAUCUCUAGAAGACCAUAUAGAAUGCCACCAAAUGAGCUAGCUGAGCUUAAGACCUAGUUGAAUGAGUUGUUGAAGAAGGGUCUUAUCCGUCCUAGUUCUUCUCCUUGGGGUUGUCCGGCUAUCUUUGUGAAGAAGAAGGAUCAGGCCUUGCGCAUGUGUGUGGACUAUCGUCCCCUGAAUGCGGUGACCAUCAAGAAUAAAUACCCUCUUCCUCGCAUUGAUAUCUUGUUUGAUCAGUUGUCUAAAGCUAAGGUAUUCUCCAAGAUUGAUUUACGAUCUGGGUACCAUCAGAUCAAGAUCCGUCCUGAAGAUGUACCUAAGAUAGCUUUCUCGACGAGGUAUGGGUUGUAUGAGUAUCUCGUCAUGUCCUUCGGUCUUACAAAUGCACCUGCUCACUUCAUGUAUCUCAUGAAUUCGGUGCUCAUCCCCGAAUUGGACAAGUUUGUGGUGGUCUUCAUUGAUGAUAUCCUGGUAUAUUCUUGCAAUGAAGAGGAGCAUGCAGAGCAUCUGCGUGUGGUGUUGUCACGUUUGCGUGAGCAUCAGCUUUAUGCUAAGUUCAGCAAAUGAGAGUUUUGGCUGAAGAAAGUACCUUUCUUGGGCCAUGUCUUAUCUGAAGAAGGCAUAUCGUUAGAUCCAGCUAAGGUGCAAGAAGUGCUGGAUUGGAAAGUUCCAACUUCGGUGCACGAGGUUAGGAGUUUUCUGGGGUUGGCAGGGUAUUAUCGUCGAUUCAUUCCGGAAUUCUCAAAGAUAUCCAAGCCUAUGACUCGCCUACUCUAGAAAGAUUUGUAGUUUGUGUGGACGCCGGAGUGUGAAGAGGCAUUCCACAAGUUGAGGACACUGCUAACAUCGGCUCCUGUCCUAGCUCAACCUGAUAUCGGAAAGCCCGAUGUCUUCUGUGACGCGUCAGGUAUUGGUCUGGGCUGUGUGCUGAUGCAGGAAGGUCGUGUUAUCGCAUAUGCCUCGCGCCAACUUCGAAAGCAUGAGGUAAAUUACCCUACUCAUGACUUAGAAUUGGCUGCAGUUGUUCAUGCUUUGAAAAUCUGGAAGCACUAUUUGUUGGGUAAUCUGUGCAAUAUUUACACGGAUCAUAAGAGUCUCAAGUACAUCUUCACUCAACCCGAAUUGAACAUGCCGCAACGAAGGUGGCUUGAGUUGAUUAAAGAUUAUAAUCUACAAGUGCACUACCAUCCGGGCAAGGCAAACGUGGUUGCAGACGCCUUAAGACGGAAAGCGCACUGUCACGCAGUUCAGGUGGAAGAUCCAUUAUUGUCACAUCUUAUGCACCCACUUGUGCUCAGCUAGAUUUCUCUGGAGAGUACUCUUCGCAAUCGAGUCAUCAAAUUGCAGCAAACCGAUGUGGGUGUUGACGGUCCUUAAGUUUCAAAUUUAAUUAUCAAAUAAAUAAAGAAAAGGAUCCAAAUGAAAUCAAGAUCUAGACUUAGGGUUUUAUCUGACAGAAUUCCACGAGUUUUGGUGUUUGUCUAUUUCUGCAGGGGGUUAUCAGGAAAUAUGGAAGAAAGGCCCACAUGUCGGGAUUACGUAAAGAUAUUAACGUGCUGUGCAAUUAUCUUACAUCUAGAAGACUCCAGAAGCCACGAGACCGAAGCGGAGGCGAAACGGGGCCAGAGGCAGGGCGCCCGCCCUGUCCUACUGGGCGCCCGCCCCCUCCCUGAGUCCAAUCAGUACUCUGCUUUGCGGGAGAUCUCCACCGACCUAAAGGAUGAAUCUAAACCAUACAAUCUAUGUCGGUUUGAUCCAAUGGCCCAUAUUCACUUGGAGGGACUAUAAAACCAGACCCCCUGGCCCCUGGAGGAGAGAGCCUCUCAACCCUAAUUCAAUGUUCCAUCAAGGGAGAAGAAGCCUCUGAUCAAGAUUAGAGCCACCACAUCAAUUAGACAUCUAGAUUAGCAUAGCUACAUAGAAUUAGAACUAGAAGGAGUCAAUCUUCGAUUGGUUUCCAGAUCUGUCAAGAGGAUUCUUGGUAAUUCUCUAAUUGUGCUUCUAAUUACUUUCUAAUUAUCUUUGUUCUUCAAUAUUAUGAAUAUGACUUUGUUCUACUUCAAUAUAUUGCUUAUGACUUUGCUCUACUUGCUUAUAUUCAAGAUUAUAUUGUUCUUGGUUUAUCAUAGUUAUGUACUUGGCUUAGUUAGAUUGGAUCUAUAUACAUGGUUAGGAUCGUAUAGCGUUUAUCCAUCGGAUCCAUGGGUAAAUGAUAGAUAUUGUGUAGGCGUGGUGCUUAUAACGUAUUUAUCUGCGAUUGUACCCAAUAUGCCAGAUCGUGGGGUGGUUCGUGAUAGUGAUAGCUUCAUUGAUUCUUAUAUAGUCCCCCUCUCGUGUAUUGGGCUGGCAGAGCAACAUUGUUACAGGGGAGUGAUUGCUAUGUUUCUCAUAUUCCUUGAUAAUAUCACUAUGCGUGGGCGUAGUCUUGUCUCACAAUGAUUGCUAAGUAUGCUUGCACUAACUAUGAUAUGCUAGACUAUAUAGUUAAGAAUAACUUAGGGAAUAUUCUUGUAGUUCGUUCUAAUACCAUGCUAAUGACUUUCUAGAGUAUCUAAUUGAGGUGCUUAUCAUAUUUAUUAUGUGGCUAGAUCAGAUUAGUUAUCCUUGUCACUAUUAUUAUUUCAUAUAUCUUUUAUGUGACACUUAUCCCUGUAUGAAGAGUUAGAUAUAAUGUUCUCAAUUAUGCAUGCAAUGAUAAAUGCUCAAUCUUAUAUUCUAUUCUGUAAUCAAUAGUGAUGAUUGCUAAUCCCUUCCCAGUGGUAAAAAUAUAAAUAACGAUACCUGGAAUACUUCCCGGUUAAAAUGCUGCAUCGGUAUUAAUCUGUGCGCUUGCAGAUCCCAUUCAUUAUUUAUUUAGAAGAGCAAUUGCAUAUUUCAAUACUGUGUCUCUCAUGUCAUGCUGGGGAUGACAACUUGGCUUAAGUGGUGUGAGGGAUAGGUUUGGCAUUUUUGGCACCGUUACUAGAUUUAGAGAACUUAGUCUACUUUUGGUAAUGAUGUUAAGAAUACCCAACAAGAAUUUUUGGCGCCGUUGCCGGGGAAGGUUGAUUACUAAUCAGGAAUAGAAUAAAAGAUUUUGAGCUAUCAUUCGCAUCACUAAUAUGAUUGAGCUUAUCUAUUCUCUCAUACAGUUUUACCCCGAUAUUUUUCUAUUUUAUCUUAUGCAGGGGAAUGUAUGAAUAGAAGACAUCUUCUAGGAAAUUUUGUUGACAAUCCCAAAGCAUUAUUCAAGAAGACGAGAGCCAAGAAGAGAUCAUCAACACUUCAUGAAGAAGCUUCAUCCAAUCAAGAAGAUCACCGGAACUUGUCUUCAGAGUUCGAGGCCAUGGCGAACAAAUCAAUCCGCGAGUUCUCAGCUCCCACUACGGACAACAUCCGCACUGGACCUGCUGCAGAGAUCGAUGGAAACUUUGAGCUCAAGCCUGGACUUAUCAACAUGGUGCAAUCCAAUCAGUUCUGUGGGAAGGCACACGAAGAUGCUAGUGCUCAUUUACAACACUUCCUAGAGAUUUGCAACACAUUCACCAUAUCAGGAGUUUCCAAAGAUGCUAUACUACUUCGCCUCUUCCCAUUUUCACUGUUAGGAAGAGCGAAGCAGUGGUUCUACGCUACAAAGGAGAAGAAUACUACGUGGGCACUCUGCUCAACAAACUUCCUGGUAAUGUUCUUUCCCAUGGGCAAGACCAAUGCUCUCUGUGGGAAGAUUACAUGUUUUCAGCAACAAAAUGAUGAAUCUGUUCCAGAAGUAUGGGAGCGCUUUCAAGACUACAUCCUAGAAUGUCCCCAUCAUGGAAUGGAGAGUUGGCUAUUGAUGCAGACAUUUUAUCAUGGGCUCAGCAACAGUGCCCGAGAGACCAUGGAUGCUGCAGCUGGAGGAGCAUUCUUAUCACUUACUAUACCACAAGCCACAGCUCUUGUGGAGAAGAUGGCGUCCAACCAAAGCUGGAAUGAAGAGAGGACCCAGACACGCAAGAGAGGUGGAGGUAUGCAUCAGCUGAAGGAGGUAGACAUGCUGUCUGCAAAGCUAGACCUGCUCAUGAAGAAGCUCGACGAUAGAGCUGGAGACAAGAAAGAAGUUAUGCACAUCUACGACUCUCACAUGACUUGUAAGGAGUGUGGAGACACUGGACACUCAGGCAACCACUGCCCUGAGAUACUUGAGGAUGUGAACUACAUCAACAACAACAACAAUAACUACUACAACCAUCCUCAACAAAAUCAAGGUUGGAAUCAACACAGGCCUAACUACUCAGGUAAUUAUCAAGGUAAUAAUUCUUACAACAAUAAUAAUAAUUUUCCACCUCUGAGAGAGUUAGUGUCUAAUCAAGGAAAGCUAAUGGAUAACCUAUCUAAGAAAUUGGCAUCUAAUGAUAAAAUGCUAGAAAAUAUAAAUAAUAGAAUGGAUAAUUUCUCUACUGCCAUCAAGAAUCAAAUUAGCUUUAAUAAAAUGAUUGAAUCUCAAUUAAAUCAAAUAGCUGCUGCUGUUCCUACUACUAACCCCGGUACACCAUCACAACCGGAAGGAUUAGAAUCUGCAAAUCUUGUAGACAUGUUUGAUGCAGGUAAUUGGAGUAACCCCGUCACUGAAUUCUCUACUGACCUUAUGCCGGUCAAGAGAGGCGAUCCAGGACGCCCCGUCAUCCCGAUCUCCAUCGGCAUGGUGGACGUUCCGGAAGCACUCUGCGACUUUGGCUCCAGCGUCAACAUUAUACCCAGGGUACUCUAUGAAAAAUUCUUUACAUAUCCUUUAUUAGAGACAACCAUGUGUUUGCAGUUUGCAGAUCAGACGAUAACUUUUCCAAAAGGAAUAGUGAGGAACCUUUGUGUCCGAGUUGGUACCUUAUAUGCCCCAGCAGACUUCGUAGUGGUAGAGACCGGAAAUGAUGAGAGAGCACCUAUCAUCUUAGGGAGGCCAUUCUUGAACACCACGGGAGCUAUCAUCUACGCCAGUGCUGCCAUGAUCAGUUUCUACGUCAAAGGGAAAAAGGAGACAUUUUUCUUCAAGAACAAGACUACACAAAUUCCAGAUCAAUCCAGACGUAAAUCAAGGAAGAGGACCAACAGGAGAAACAGGAACAAGCAAGUGUGGACCGAGUCAGCUAAGAUGGUCACUGUAGUCCAUGGAGGCCAAGGUCAUCAACUUAAGUCACCGUUUUUGACCAAGAAGGACGACCCAGGAAUGCCAAGCAUUUACUGCUCCAUACAUGGAUAUAGCUUCUACAAGACGAUUUGUGACACCAGAUCGGGCGUCAACAUAAUGGCCGCAGUCACCUAUCGGCUCUUGUUUGGAACCAUGCCACUAAGACCAACAUACAUUCAGCUCUAGAUGGCAGAUCAGACAUUUCGAGAAGUUAAAGGAAUAGUAACUGAUGUCUCAGUCAAAAUAGAUGAUCACUUUGUCUGCACAGACUUUCAAGUUGUUGACAUGGGAGAAGAUGAAUACGAUCCACCCAUCAUCCUUGGAAGACCGUUCCUCAGCACCGUUAAAGCAAUUAUCUACAUUGGAACCGGAGAAGUCCAUAUGCACUUCCCCUCAAAGAAGGUACGCCGUUAUUUUAUUGACCCUGAUUAUAUCGUUGAAGAAUCUAAGCAGGUAAGGAAAAGACGCAACCGCAACCAGAGGAGGCAGAUCAUCAAGGACGGAUGGGCAGACUAUGACGGAGAAGUUGUAAGGUCAGAAGACGUUGAGUUUAAAUAGAAUUAUCCAGAGGAGAUUGGAGCACCGAGUCAGGUAUGGAAAAUGAAGAUAACUAUACAAGAAGAGGAGGCGCUGCCGGAAGUACCGACUACGCCACCCAACGAACCUCAGGACGAUUAAGAAAAUGGAGAGUCCCGUUCGGAGGACUUAAAAACACCGAACGCCUUGCCAAGAGGUAAACUUGGUAGUUAUCCUUUCCCUUUCAAUUAUUUCAACUAGUUUACUUAGUUAAUCAUGUUCGUACUAUCUUAAAAAGAAAAUAAAAAUGUGAAAAACAGUAAGCCCCAUGUGAGUAGACGAGUGGCAUAAAACCCAUAAGUACAUUCACUGUGGUGGCAUAAAAAUAAAAUAAAUAUUUUUCUGCUUUAUAAAAACAAAAAUAUAAAAACAGGGAGUAAUAUUUAUUAAGGAGUCUCAACACGAUAAAGGCUAGAUAUUUAUGCUAACACUUAAUCAUUUCCACAAGCUUUGUUGUCUAUUUGAGCUCCACAGAAUUUAAGAAUCAAGAAGACUAGCAGACGGAGGGCAUUCUAAUCGCUGUCAGAAUGCUGCUGACUUUCAAAUACACCUCUGCCACCUGCUAGCUACAUUAAGAGAAAUUACGUCAAAAUUCAGCUUGGGGGAGAGUGUUGACGGUUCUUAAGUAUCAAUUUUAAUUAUCAAAUAAACAAGAGAAAGGACCAAUAUGCAACCAACACCUAGAAUUAGGGUUUGAUCUGACAGAAUUCCACGAGUUUUGUUGUUUAUCUGUUUCUGCAGGGGGUUAUCAGGAAAUAAGGAAGAAAGGCCCACAUGUCGGGAUUACAUAGAGAUAUCAACGCACCGCAUGAUUUUAGAUCAUCUAGAAGACUCCAGAAGCCAUGAGACCGAAGCGGAGGCGAAACAGGGCCAGGCCCAGGGCGCCCGCCCUGGUAGCCUGGGCGCCCGCCCCCCUCUGGAGCCAGAUCAGGACUCUUUUCGCUCGGGAUAUUCCACCGACCUAUUGGAUCAAGAAAAACAUAGUACCACCUCGCCUAUCGACCCAAAAACGCAUAGAAGGGGAGAACUAUAUAAGCAAGGCCCCCCUGGCCCCUGGAGAAGACAUGAAGAAAUUAUCAUAGAGACUGAGGGGUGCCCUCGAAGGAAAACCUCUUCUCUAAUUAAUAUUUCUUUUCAGGCUUAGCAAUCAAUGUAAGGUAGAAUUAGAUCUUCUAGUUUCUACUAGAUUGAGAGAGAUAGAGUGGAGGUGUAGAGUGGAUGAAGCCCGGCCUGUCGGUGUCUACUCCAAGCUUGUACCUGCGGGAUCAAGUUCUCCUAACCCGAAGCUUGCUCCUAGGAUUCUUGAGUAAUUCGACUUCUAAAUUCUAGUAAGUUCUUGUUUUAUUGUUCUUAUGGUUUAUGAGUUUACUUUAAUCUCUUCGCGUAGAGUUUAGAGUAAUCAUUGCUGGCGUAAACGUGGUGUUUAGGCUGGGGUACUCAUAGAUAUUCCUUGACUAGCUGGACCGUGGUAGUAGUGAGGAACGUGACAAUUCCAAGCUACCUUUGUAGAUCACAUCUCGUUAGCAGGAAGGAUAGGGUUUAUAGGUGCGGGUCGAACAUCCUUUGUGUUGUCUAGAUUCCGUUAGCCUCCCCAUUAGAACAGUAGAUCAUCCUUACCAAGGUUAGAAGGAGACUACGGUUGCAGUCUUCUCUAUUUAUCACUCACAUCGAAAGACAUUCUUUGUGCCUAAAGGUUAGUAGUAAUAGACCGGUUAGUCAGAUGCACUCUUUCUCCUAGUGGUAAAAAAAUAAAUACGAUACUCUGGAUAAUUUCCCGGGUGAAGUGCUCACCGAUAUCCGUGCGCUUGCGGAUCAAUUCCUUAUUGCGUUCCCAAAUAUCAACAAGCAUUUCUGGCGCCGUUGCCGGGGAGAAAGACGGUUGCUGAGAUAACCUGUGUCUUACUAUUAGCUUGUAUCUAUACUUUUAUCUUUUCUUAUCUUUUAUAUUCUUUAUUUAUUUUCUUUACUCUUACCUUAUGGAAAACCAAAAUUCUAAAUCGAUCCAUGAGUCUGCAAUCCCUUUAGCAACUGACCUUUUACCAUGGGAAUCAUCACAGCCUAUCCAAACAUCCCAGUAUAAGUUAAGUUCUAGGUUGAUUGCCAUGAUUCAAAACCUAUCUUUUUCGGGAAAGGAAGACGAAAACUCUUACCUUCAUAUUAGAGAUUUUGAGCAAACAUGUGAUUGUCUUCGCAUUGAAGGCAUUUCUGAUAAGACUUUAUGUUGGAAGCUUUUUCCUUUUUCUUUAAGGGGAGAAGCUAGACAAUGGUACAGUCAGAAGGUAAGUCAACAACAAGGUGAAUGGGGAGUUUUACGAGCCAACUUUUGUCUAGAUUUCUAUUCCCUUGACCGUAUAGCCGACCUUAGACUCGAAGUCCUAUCUUUUAAACAAAAAGAUAAUGAAACUUUGGGAAAAUCCUGGAAACGUUUUUCUAAUCUUUUAGAAUUUGGUCCAAACCUUAAUCUUGAAGACCCUGUUCUUUUAUUUCACUUUUUUCGAGGUCUUCAGAAAAAUCACAAACAAAUGCUUCACACAAUGUCUAGAGGUUCUUUCUUUCGCAUCCCUGCUGAUGAAGCUAGAGUGAUCCUAGAUAGAAUCCUAGAAGCUGAGAUGGAUAAUACCCUUCAUGAUCAAACCUACGAAGCCGAAGUAGACACUCUGCCAAAUUCUUCAUCUACUUUAGCUAUUCCAAGUUUUGAGCCAUAAGAGGAAGAAAUUCCACUACCGGACUUCAUGCUGGAUAUAGAAUCCGAUCUUUUUGCCGAUUUUGGAAAUAUUACAAACUACCAUUCUAUUGACAAACCCCAAAACGGCUAGUUUAGCAUUUAUUUACCAAGUGAAUAUCAAUUGAGAGAGCUUAUCUCAGUAAUGAGUAGCGAAUGGUUGGAGGAAUCAGAGCUUUCCUCUGAUGUGAUCCGUUUGACACACCCUCUAUAACUAUACGUUGUGCUUAUAAUUCUGAUCGAUUUAAUGCUCUCUAUAAUCCUGUCGUGGGGAUCAACAUUAUGUCUGAAUCCUUUGCACUUAAACUAUUUAAAAAUCUUGUCUUAACCCCCACAACAAAGGUCAUAAAGGAAUCUUCAGGACGAUUAGUCCCCAGUCUUGGAAUUAUUAAUGUCCUACCUCUUACGGUAGAAGGCUCCAUGGUUCAUUUGAACUUCUAUAUCUUUGAUACAUGGGACUUCGACCUGUUGAUAGGACAACCUUUUAGAAGACUCCUUUAUGAAGGUCAUACUGGAAAGCUACACAUUUCUUUUGGAAAAACCUUUAAAUUCCCAAUAAUAAUUUCACACUCCUUAAACAAUAAGGCUGAGUCAUAUCUUUUGCCUGAUCCUAUGGAGGAAGUAAAGGCUGCAUCUCUAGAGCUUUUAGAUGAACCAGACUUAGAAGACGAAACUCCUUUCUUCAGAGAAGAAGAAGACGAACCUUCCGAGCCUGAACCCUUAGAUGAGUUUGCAGAAACACCUAGACCUCCCAUAGAGCUUAAAACUUUACCACCCGGUCUUACCUAUGCUUUCUUAAACAAUAAUCCAGAGUUCCCUGUGAUCAUUAGCGAUAAACUCACUCAGGAUCAAACUCUGCGAUUAAUGACCAUUCUUGAGAAACAUCACUCGGUUUUUGGCUACUCACUUCAAGAUCUUAUAGGAAUCAGUCCUAUGAUUUGUACCCAUCGUAUUCCAACAGAUCCUUCUGUUACACCCUCUCGAGAACCCCAACGUAGACUUAACAACACUAUGAGAGAGGUAGUUAAAAAGGAAGUUAUAAAGUUGCUGCAUGCAGGGAUUAUAUAUCCUGUGCCGCACAGUGAGUGGGUAAGCCCAGUGCAAGUUGUGCCUAAAAAGGGAGGCAUGACAGUUAUUAUGAAUGAAAAGAACGAGCUAAUUCUGCAACGCACCGUCACAGGAUGGCAGAUGUGCAUAGAUUAUAGAAAACUAAACAAAGCCACGAGAAAGGAUCACUUUCCUUUACCUUUUAUAGAUGAGAUGCUAGAGCGGUUAGCAAACCAUUCGUUCUUCUGUUUCUUAGAUGGAUACUCAGGGUAUCAUCAAAUCCCGAUCCAUCCUGAUGAUCAAAGCAAAACCACUUUUACAUGCCCAUAUGGAACUUAUGCUUACUGUAGAAUGUCUUUUGGGUUAUGUAAUGCACCAGCUUCUUUUCAAAGAUGCAUGAUGUCUAUAUUUUCUGAUAUGAUUGAAGAGAUUAUGGAAGUUUUCAUGGAUGAUUUCUCUGUUUAUAGAAAAACUUUUGAUAGUUAUCUUGAAAACUUAGACAAGGUUUUGCAAAGAUGUGAAGAAAAGCACUUAAUCCUUAAUUGGGAAAAAUGUCAUUUUAUGGUUAGGGAAGGAAUAGUGCUAGGACACUUAGUGUCUGAAAGAGGUAUUGAGGUAGACAAAGCUAAAAUUGAAGUAAUUGAACAACUACCUCCACCUGUGAAUAUAAAAGGAAUUCGAAGCUUUCUUGGCCAUGCUGGUUUUUAUCGUAGAUUCAUAAAAGAUUUUUCAUUUAUUGCUAGACCACUUACUCUUUUGCUAGCCAAGGAUGCUCCUUUUGAAUUUAAUGAUGCAUGUCUAACAUCUUUCAGUUUAUUAAAGAAAGCACUCAUCUCUGCACCAAUCAUUCAACCCCCUGAUUGGUCGUUGCCUUUUGAAAUUAUGUGUGAUGCUAGUGAUUAUGCUGUGGGGGCAGUAUUGGGACAAACUAAAGAUAAGAAGCAUCAUGCAAUUGCUUAUGCCAGUAAAACUUUGACAGGAGCUCAACUUAACUAUGCAACCACUGAAAAAGAGCUCCUGGCUGUUGUCUUUGCCAUUGAUAAAUUUAGAUCUUAUUUAGUUGGAGCUAAAAUAAUUGUUUACACUGAUCAUGCUGCACUAAAAUAUUUGCUCACUAAAAAAGAUGCUAAACCUCGCCUGAUUAGAUGGAUCUUAUUACUCCAAGAAUUUGACUUAGAAAUAAAAGAUAAAAAGGGAGUAGAAAAUUCUGUUGCUGAUCACUUGUCUAGAAUGUAUUUUAAGAAUCCACAGAAAACCCCCAUCAAUGAUUCACUCCGGGACGACAUGCUCUACGGGAUUAACAGGUCUGACCCCUGGUAUGCAGAUAUUGUUAAUUUUAUGGUUUCAGGGUAUGUAUCACCAGGAGCAAACAAGAAGAAGCUUAUUCAAGAAAGUCGUUCACAUAUAUGGGAUGAGCCAUACCUCUUCCGAGUAUGCUCUGAUGGCUUACUCAGGAGAUGUGUGACCACUGAGGAAGGAUGGAAGAUCAUCGACAAAUGUCAUUCAUCACCAUAUGGAGGUCACUAUGGAGCAUUCCGUACACAUUCAAAGAUCUGGCAGUGUGGAUUCUAUUGGCCUACAAUGUAUGAAGACAAGAAGCAAUAUAUCAGAAGAUGUGGGCCAUGUCAAAGGCACGGAAACAUAAAUACAAGGGAUGCAAUGCCACUCACCAACAACCUUCAGAUUGAGCUCUUUGAUGUUUGGGGAAUAGACUACAUGGGUCCAUUUCCUCCAUCAAAGAAGUGUGAGUACAUCUUGGUGGCAGAUGACUAUGUCUCCAAGUGGGUAGAAGCAUUACCUUGUAAGCAUGCCGACAACGUCAGUUCAAAGAGGAUGUUUGAAGAAAUUAUAUUUCCAAGAUUUGGAGUCCCCAGAGUAGUGAUAAGUGAUGGAGGAGCACACUUCAUCGACAAACGCUUCAAGCAAUAUCUAUCAAGACAUGGAAUCCGUCACAACGUCGCUACCCCCUAUCAUCCUUAGACAAGUGGCCAAGCAGAGACUUCCAACAAACAAAUCAAGAAUAUUCUUCAGAAGACAGUAAAUGAAAUGGGAACGACAUGGAAAGACAAGUUACCCGAUGCACUCUGGGCAUAUCGGACAGCAUACAAGACCCCAAUUGGAAUGUCUCCAUACCAAUUGGUGUACGGGAAGACUUGCCAUCUACCUGUUGAACUAGAGUUCAAAGCACACUGGGCCAUAAAGAGAUGGAAUAUGGACCUAGAUGUUGCUGGAGAUUAUAGAAGAAUGCAACUAUCAGAAUUGGAAGAAUGGCGAGAGAAGGCAUAUCACAAUUCAAAGAUCUACAAAGAAGGAGUCAAAAGGUGGCAUGACAAGAGAAUCAAGAAGAAGGAGUUCACACCCGGAGAUAAGGUAUUACUUUUUAAUUCCAGGGUGAAGCUUUUCGGGCAUGGAAAACUCCGGAGCAAAUGGGAAGGACCAUUCAAGGUAAUCAAUUCAUCAUCCCACGGAGCUAUCACACUUCAAAACAGCGAAUGUACGUUAUUCAAGGUAAAUGGUCAACGUCUUAAAUUAUUUUUAGAGCCCAAUGAGGAAUUUGAAGAAAUAGACGUAGUCCAUUUUUACCUUCCCAUGGAGAAUUAGAGCCCGACACUUUUGGUCUGAUGGUUUUGGGUGAUAUAUAUAUUUUUCUAAAUAAUUUCGCAUCUAGAAACGCGCUCGGAGAAGUGGGCCCAUAGAGGGGCCAUAGAGAGGGCGGGCGCCCAGCUCAGGUGGGCGGGCGCCCAGCCCCUGUUCCCCCUCGGUCCCGACUUACUCUGUUAUGGAAAAUGCAAUUAUGGUAAUUUGAAUAAUCCCUCGGAUAGAAAGUUUCGCACAUACAUCGACGGGAGCAACCCGAACAACCCAUAGAGGCACCCUUUUGACCCCUAAAUAAACAGACCCCUGACCUCAGUUUUCAAACACCAAGCCACCAUGCUUUCUCUCCUUCAACUAGAGCUUGAUUAGCUCUCCUUCAAUUAGAGCUUGAUUAGCUCUACUUCAAUUAAAGUUUUAUUAGUUCCUUGCUGUUCCAAUGGCCGAGAAGUACCACGAUGAUUGGGAAGUCGUCCCCUUCAACCUCAACAUGAAGCCUGUGGAAGACUCCGAUGCCCAUGCUCUCGUCCUGGCCAACACAGAAAGACAGCUAGAAGCCAUGCAUUAUGCCAACGCAGCUCCGCCCAAUCUUACCAUGCUCAACCAGUUCUCACCGCACCGCCACAACCCCUACUCCUCAAAGGAUCAUCAUCCAAGACGAAGACCACUAUCAAGGUGCCAAUCGGCACAAGGAUCCUUCCACCUAGACCCGAUGAGAGGGUCGUUGGAGUCAAGACGAACCAAAGCGGCGAGAUCAGCAGCGUACGCUACACUACGGAGGAGGAAAGACCUUACUUUGAAGGGAUUAGAGCAGCCAAAGUCUGUUUCAUCCCUCCAAAGGCAGCCCCGAAGCACUCUCUCAAUGCUUUUGAGACACCUCCCAAGUGUCGCAAGACUAUAAUGGAUAUUGAUGAGGAAGUUCGCAGGCUAGAUAGAGUUAUCAUAGACCUCCAGUCCUCGAUUAAUUCACUCACUAAGCAGCUCUCUAACCACAACACCAUUAUACUAGGCCUUAGGCAGGAUCUUGCCAGUUCCAGUAAGAAGAUCUAGGAAUUAGAGCGCCGCUAAGUUAUCUAGAUUAGACCUUGAGGAAAUGCAUUUUAGUUAUCUAUCUUUAAAUUUGGUUUAGGUUUACUAUUAUUAUCAGUUUGCUAUCAAUCUUUUGUAAUAAAUGCCUCAAGAGCAAUAAAGAGUAUUAUUAUUAUUAUUAUGUCUUGUGUGUCUCUACUUUAUUUUUGUGCAAGAAAGCAGAAAACAAGUAUGGGGGAGAUCCCUCGACAUGCCAAACACACUCCGACUACACCACUCCACGAUUCAGGUACACACUCUGCACACUUUACUUUAAACAUACAUUUUGGAUUAUGCAGAAUAUUGUUUCCGACAUGAUAAAUUAAAAAGAUUAAAAUAUUUCUUAUCAUGGUUAAUCUCAAUCUAUGAUAUUUCCUGAAAACUUGCAACUAUUAUAAAAUCAUUUUAAAACCCUGUGUUACUUAAGUCAAUAUGGAAUAUGUGAUGGUAGAGUAUGAGUUUCUUAUUCUUGAUAUCAUUGUUGCUUGGAGAAUUUAUUUCAAAAUAUUCAAAUUUCUAGCUACCAUCCUUAGUGUUUUAUAUGCCUAAUAAAACUAAAAAUAUUAAUAAUGAUUAUAAAAGCUAUCUGCUCUGUAUUGAGUUUGUUCAAAAUGAGUUAGACCCUUGUUGAGAGAUUUAUCAUGCUCCUAAGAUCAAGACAUUAUUUUAGUAAGAUUCACUCUUCCGAAGUAUUAUUGCAUUAGAGGCAUGGGCUAUGCAAAAAUAGAAAUAUUUCGAGGAAAUAAAAAGGAGCAAGUGCUCGAUAACCUCACAGAAAAAAAUGGACAAGUGUCCGGCAGUAGAAUUAGAGGUACCUCAGUAUCCACUUUAAAAAAAAGAAGAAGAAAAGAGAAAAAAAUGAUAGCCCAUGGUCCCUCUAAUAAGCAAUAUGCCAGCAAGAGUUGACAAAGUUUUUAAUUUUCAAAGUCUUUGAUCUAAGAGUAUGACAUUUCCCUCCUCGGAUCCCGUUUUUAUCAGGCAAUAAAUGCAAAGUCAGAAUGCUUGAGAAUUUUUGCAAAAUAAAACAACCUCAGUGAGAUAUAUAAAAGAUAAUGAGUGAUCUGAGAGAACCUAUGAGGAUAAAAAGGUAUGCUAACUUUCUUUCAAAAAUACACAAAAGCUCCAAGUGACAGGAUUGAGAAGAAAGGAUCUUUUCUCUUGACCAUAAACAUCCCUGACUAUGGUACACAGUGGAUUUUUAACACCCUGCAAAUAUAAAGAAUAUUUUAAUGUUUACCCCAGAUAUUUUUCUUAACCAUCCUUUUCUCGAGGAUGAGUAAAAGCCUAAGUAUGGGGGUAUUUGUUGACGGUUCUUAAGUAUAAAUUUUAAUUAUCAAAUAAACAAGAGAAAGGACCAAUAUGCAACCAACACCUAGAAUUAGGGUUUGAUCUGACAGAAUUCCACGAGUUUUGUUGUUUAUCUGUUUCUGCAGGGGGUUAUCAGGAAAUAAGGAAGAAAGGCCCACAUUUCGGGAUUACAUAGAGAUAUCAACGCACAGCACGAUUUUAGAUCAUCUAGAAGACUCCAGAAGCCACGAGACCGAAGCGGAGGCGAAACAGGGCCAGGCCCAGGGCGCCCGCCCUGGUAGCCUGGGCGCCCGCCCCCCUCUGGAGCCAGAUCAGGACUCUUUUCGCUCGGGAUAUUCCACCGACCUAUUGGAUCAAGAAAAACAUAGUACCACCUCGCCUAUCGACCCAAAAACGCAUAGAAGGGGAGGACUAUAUAAGCAAGGCCCCCCUGGCCUCUGGAGAAGACAUGAAGAAAUUAUCAUAGAGACUGAGGGGUGGCUUCGAAGGAAAACCUCUUCUCUAAUUAAUAUUUCUUUUUAGGCUUAGCAAUCAAUGUAAGGUAGAAAUAGAUCUUCUAGUUUCUACUAGAUUGAGAGAGAUAGAGUGGAGGUGUAGAGUGGAGGAAGCCCGGCCUGUCGGUGUCUACUCCAAGCUUGUACCUGCGGGAUCAAGUUCUCCUAACCCGAAGCUUGCUCCUAGGAUUCUUCAGUAAUUCGACUUCUAAAUUCUAGUAAGUUCUUGUUUUAUUGUUCUUAUGGUUUAUGAGUUUACUUUAAUCUCUUCGCGUAGAGUUUAGAGUAAUCAUUGCUGGCGUAAACGUGGUGUUUAGGCUGGGGUACUCAUAGAUAUUCCCUGACUAGCUGGACCGUGGUAGUAGUGAGGAACGUGACAAUUCCAAGCUACCUUUGUAGAUCACAUCUCGUUAGCAGGAAGGAUAGGGUUUAUAGGUGCGGGUCGAACAUCCUUUGUGUUGUCUAGAUUCUGUUAGCCUCCCCAUUAGAACAGUAGAUCAUCCUUACCAAGGUUAGAAGGAGACUACGGUUGCAGUCUUCUCUAUUUAUCACUCACAUCGAAAGACAUUCUUUGUGCCUAAAGGUUAGUAGUAAUAGACCGGUUAGUCAGAUGCACUCUUUCUCCUAGUGGUAAAAAAAUAAAUACGAUACUCUGGAUAAUUUCCCGGGUGAAGUGCUCACCGAUAUCCGUGCGCUUGCGGAUCAAUUCCUUAUUGCGUUCCCAAAUAUCAACAGAGAGCACCCCCAUUUAUCUCGAUAAGUAUUUCUAUCUAUCUUCAUACUUAUAUUAUAUUAGAAUAUUAAAAUACAUAAACUAGGAAAAACCAAAUAAAGAUUUCGUGCUUAUUUAUCUUUUGCUUAGUGUGUCUAAUAAAUAAAUAAAGUGGCUAUGCUAAUCUGUAUGUAAAUAAAACUUAAGCAUGGAUGUGAUGAAUAGUUGCUCUGCCUAAUUUGCACAUUUCAAGUUCUCUCUCAAGUUUAAAUAUAACUGUUAUAAUUUAAAGCUUGCUCUAGACCUAAACUUGUGGGAUGAAAACUUGAUCUGAAGUCUAAGUUGUUAACGGAUACGAUAUGGAAAGGUUGAGCUGCUGUUUAUCUGUUCCUAGAGAUGCUAGAAUUCUGGAGAAUUUUAUCUUUGAAAAUCUUUAAAAUGUUGCAUGAUGAGUUCCUGUAUGAUGAGAGUUUAAAUUCCUACCACAGCCAUAUAUACAUGCUUGCUAGACCUUGAGCCACACAUUUAUUAUUUACUGCUUAUGAGCAUUGAGUGUGGUCAAGCUGUGUAGACCCUUAGGAGCUUGUCAUGUGGUUAAAUCAAGAUUUCACUUGCACGUUCACUCAUAUAUGCUACUUCUACUCUGGAAGUACCAUCCACAUAUAUCCAUCCAUUUCCAUCUCCAGAAUCACCCAAAAAUAUUCUACUCCUACUCCGGGAGAGAAUAACCAAAAAUAUUUAUGUUUUCCCCUUGUGAAAUAAAUGCUCAAGUUAUCUUGUUACUACCACUUGCUAUAUUAUCUCAAGAGAUGAAUGCUCUGAAAAAAAGAGAAAAAGAAAAAAAAAAGAGAUACGAGGAAAUAAAAAGAAGCAAGUGCUCGGAACCUCAAAAGAAAAGAAAAAGUGAGACGAGAGGUAAAAAUGGACAAGUGUCCGACAGUAGAAUUAGGGGUACAAGAUAUCCACCUGAGAGACAAGAAAAAGAAGAGCAUCUCAUUCUCCUCAUAAAGUUUCAAAAGCAAGGAAGGUAUGUAUCCCCUCAAAGAGCAAAGUAGAAUUAGACUUCCACCACCAUUGUUUUCACCAUUGUUAUCACCAUCAUCACCAUACACCAUUCAUUCGCCACACAUGCACAUCUUGAUUUGGCUUAUUGAUUUGUUUCUUUGGAUCCAUGGUUUGACUAUGCAAUAAAUGUCUUGUAAGUAUGUAUACUUUAUCUCCCACCUAUGAGCUCCAGAUAUUAAAGCCUUAUUAUAGUAGGGUGAGAGAGAAGGCAAUGUCACUAUGCCUCAUACCACAAAUACUACAUAUUUUGAGAGAAGGCAUAUACCAUCACUGCCUUGGUAAGGAUCCAAAAAUACAACAAAAGAGAGACCUGAGAGAAUCAUACAAGGAAUCUCUGAGUUUAGUUUGAAAAUCUGCAAAAAACUCUAGAGUUAUAGCCGAUCAAGAAUAAGAGACAUGGCACUUGGCUAGACUGUUCUAUCUUUUAACCUCUCAAGACAGAAGUGAUGGUUACAAGUCCCAUGGUGAAGGUAAAGUAAGUAAGUUUUAAGUCUUGACAGUUUACUCUAACUCAGAGAUGAGAUCUUAUUUAAAAGCAUGUGUACCGUCAAAUUUUUAAAGAUAUUGCAACUACUUAUGAUCCAUAGCUGAGUCUAUCCUUGCUCAGGGACGAGCAAGAGGUAUGCUUGGGGGAGUUUGUUGAUGGUCCUUAAGUAUCAAAUUUAAUUAUCAAAUAAAUAAAGAAAAGGAUCCAAAUGAAAUCAAGAUCUAGACUUAGGGUUUUAUCUGACAGAAUUCCACGAGUUUUGGUGUUUGUCUAUUUCUGCAGGGGGUUAUUAGGAAAUAUGGAAGAAAGGCCCACAUGUCGGGAUUACGUAAAGAUAUUAACGCGCUGCGCAAUUAUCUUACAUCUAGAAGACUCCAGAAGCCACGAGACCGAAGCGGAGGCGAAACGGGGCCAGAGGCAGGGCGCCCGCCCUGUCCUACUGGGCGCCCGCCCCCUCCCUGAGUCCAAUCAGGACUCUGCUUUGCGGGAGAUCUCCACCGACCUAAAGGAUGAAUCUAAACCAUACAAUCUAUGUCGGUUUGAUCCAAUGGCCCAUAUUCACUUGGAGGGACUAUAAAACCAGACCCCCUGGCCCCUGGAGGAGAGAGCCUCUCAACCCUAAUUCAUUGUUCCUCAAGGGAGAAGAAGCCUCUGAUCAAGAUUAGAGCCACCACAUCAAUUAGACAUCUAGAUUAGCAUAGCUACAUAGGAUUAGAACUGGAAGGAGUCAAUCUUCGAUUGGUUUCCGGAUCUGUCAAGAGGAUUCUUGGUAAUUCUCUAAUUGUGCUUCUAAUUACUUUCUAAUUAUCUUUGUUCUUCAAUAUUAUGAAUAUGACUUUGUUCUACUUCAAUAUAUUGCAUAUGACUUUGCUCUACUUGCUUAUAUUCAAGAUUAUAUUGUUCUGUGUUUAUCAUAGUUAUGUACUUGGCUUAAGUUAGAUUGGAUCUAUAUACAUGCUUAGGAUCGUAUAGCGUUUAUCCAUCAGAUCCAUGGGUAAAUGAUAGAUAUUGUGUAGGCCUGGUGCUUAUACCGUAUUUAUCUGCGAUUGUACCCAAUAUGCCAGAUCGUGGGGUGGUUCAUGAUAGUGACAGCUUCAUUGAUUCUUAUAUAGUCCCCCUCUCGUGUAUUGGGCUGGCAGAGCAACAUUAUUAUAGGGGAGUGAUUGCUAUGUUUCUCAUAUUCCUUGCUAAUAUCACUAUGCAUGGGCAUAGUCUUGUCUCACAAUGAUUGCUAAGUAUGCUUGCACUAACUAUGAUAUGCUAGACUAUAUAGUUAAGAAUAACUUAGGGAAUAUUCUUGUAGUUCGUUCUAAUACCAUGCUAAUGACUUUCUAGAGUAUCUAAUUGAGGUGCUUAUCAUAUUUAUUAUGUGGCUAGAUCAGAUUAGUUAUCCUUGUCACUAUUAUUAUUUCAUAUAUCUUUUAUGUGACACUUAUCCCUGUAUGAAGAGUUAGAUAUAAUGUUCUCAAUUAUACAUGCAAUGAUAAAUGCUCAAUCUUAUAUUCUAUUCUGUAAUCAAUAGUGAUGAUUGCUAAUCCCUUCCCAGUGGUAAAAAUAUAAAUAACGAUACCUGGAAUCGGUAUUAAUCUGUGCGCUUGCAGAACCCAUUCAUUAUUUAUUUAGAAGAGCAAUUGCAUAUUUCAAUACCGCGUCUCUCAUGUCAUGCUGGGGAUGACAACUUGGCUUAAGUGGUGUGAGGGAUAGGUUUGGCAUUUUUGGCACCGUUACUAGAUUUAGAGAACUCAGUCUACUUUUGGUAAUGAUGUUAAGAAUACCCAACAGUGGGCAUCCACCAUAUAAAGAGGAAAAUGAAGGAAGAAGAAACCAAGCACUUCUGGGUCGAUGAAAAUGGAAUUCUUUGGUUCAAAGAUCGAUUUGUGGUCCCAAAAGACCGUGAGCUGUGAAGUCAGAUCUUGUCCGAAGCUCAUUCAUCCAAGUUGUCAAUCCAUCAUGGUAGUAGCAAGAUGUAUCAGGAUCUGAAACCUCUGUUUUGGUGGACAAAGAUGAAAAAGGAGAUUGCUGCUUUUAUCGCGCGUUGUGACAAUUGUUGUCGUGUGAAGGCCAUUCACAUGAAAGCAGGCUUACUUCAACCCUUAUCAAUUCCUAGUUAGAAAUGGAAAGAAGUCAGGAUGGAUUUCAUCAUUGGACUCCCAACUUCUGUCAAGGGUUACGACUCUAUCUGGGUGAUUGUAGACCAUUUGACCAAGGUUGCUCGUUUAAUUCCAGUUCGAACUGAUUAUCGUCCACAUCAGUAUGCGGAGUUGGACUUCGAGCACAUUGUUCGUCAGUAUGGUGUGCCUCGGACUAUCAUAUCAAAUCGUGGGCCACGGUUCACUGCCUGUUUUUGGGAGUGCCAACAUGAGUAGAUUGGUACUCACUUGGUCCGUAGUUCGGCAUAUCAUCCCCAAACGGCCGGCCAAACUGAACGGGUCAACCAAAUCCUAGAAGACAUGUUGAGAGCAUGUGCUCUCUCCUCAAAGGGUUCUUGGGUCAAGUGGUUGCCUUUAGCUGACUUCUCUUAUAACAAUAGUUAUCAAGAGAGUAUCAAGAUGGCUCCAUUCGAAGCCCUGUAUGGUCGAAAGUGUCGAACCCCGUUGAAUUGGGUGGAAUCCGGGGAACGAAGGUAUUAUGGCAUCGAUUUCGUGAACGAAGCAGAGCAGCAAGUCCGUACCAUCAAGCAACAUCUGGAAGCUGCUCAAGCUCGUCAGAAAAGUUAUGCGGAUAAAAGAAGGAAGCCAAUUGAGUUUGCAGUCGGUGACCAUGUGUAUAUCAAGGUGUCUCCGAUGAAGGGCGUACAAAGGUUCGGAGUCAAGUGAAAGCUUGCACCUCGUUAUGUGGGACCUUAUCGGAUUCUCGAAAGGAAAGGAAACGUAGCAUACAAAGUUCAACUACCAGUUGAGCUUCGAGCUAUUUUUCCUGUCUUCCACGUGUCACAAUUGAAGAUGUGCCUUCGUGUUCCGGAGGAACGAGUGGAAGUUUGGGAUAUCAAGUUGAAAUCUGAUUUGGUGUACAAGGAGAAACCUGUAGCCGUUCUUGACCACAAGGAACGGGUGACUCAUAAUCGGGUGGUUAUGUUCUAAAAGGUGUUGUGGAGUAACCACGGGGAGGAAGAUGCCACUUGGGAAACGGAGGACUAUUUAAAAGAAGUUUACAAAACACUCUUCGAAAAUCAGUAAGCUUCCAAAUCUCGGGACGAGAUUUUUAUAAGGGGAGAGGGCUGUAACACCCCAGUGUUAUGGUUGCAUCAAUGACAUGCAUAACAUGAGUAUCAUCAUCUACUCAAGCAUAUCAUGAUCAUCAUCUACCUUGAGCCAUGUCAUUUUAUGCUUAAGUGUGCUUUAACUUGAUUAAUUAUGCUUCCUAUGCUUGUGUUUAUGUGAACCAAGCUCAUGUUUGUGUGUUAUGCCUUGGUAAAUAUUUUAUCUAUCCUUAACUCAACCUUAGGAACAAUGUUCAUGUUUAUCACUUCUCCAAAAUAAUCACUUAAGUUAUACUUACAUGUAUAGGCCCUAGAAACCUCUUUUGUUUAGGCUUUUAAAAAGUGCUUUAUAAAAUGUUUUCAUGUCAAAACAUUCUACAGCGAAGCUGUAGCAAAUUUUAUAAGGAACAAAAGUUGUUUUAUGGCCAUCUCAUGAAAAUGGACACAUCAUGCUCAAAAAGUGUUUUCAAGGCAGAUUUGAGUGCUGUUUUGGCACUUAACCAAAUUUGGCUAAGUCCUGGCGUUAACAAUUUGCGUGAUCAAUUUUGGAAACUUCAUAUCUCUCAAUUAAGGCAGAUCUGGCUUUUGCUCUAGUUGACAAUGUUGUAGAACUCAGCUAGUACUUCAACUUUGUCAACUACACCAUCUCCUAACUCGCUAUGGUUUGGAAGAUAGUCAUCGUUGAAGUUGCUCUGUCACACGAUCAACGCCAUGUCUGAAUCGGAGCCGAGCUCGUCGACGUGGCCGUCCGGCGACAGACCUUCGUCGACAUUUGGCGCCCGUACGUCGCUCCUGGGCCCCGCUCGUCAGCUCCCAGUGUGCGCAUGACCUCCACGGCGACGUCCCGGACGCAGUGGACACGUCCACUCUCUCCUUCCUCUCCGCUCUCUCCGCCGUGAACCGCUCUCCACCCUCCACCCGCAAACUCACCGUGAAACCCUCCGGUGAGCCGACAUUUCCAACUUCCCCCAAAUCGGGUCGCCGUGACCUUCUUCUCCGGUGAACUCAAUGCCGAGCUCCUCGGAGCCUCUCAUCUUCUCUGGUUAGGUCCUAGAGGUAGCUUAGGUCCUCAGCGAACAUUUACGCCGCUUGGUGGAUGCUCUAUCGCGCUCACCGUGUUUCCGCCGGAGUUGGGCUCUCUCGUGGCCAGCUCAGUCCACACCGUCUCAAGCCAAGUCACCUACCUAGGAAGCUUCGCCGUAGUUCGCUGGUGCUGUAGAAAACCCUAGGUCACGCUCUACCAGCCUGAGAGCUCCGGUGUAACGCCGAGCACCUCCGCCGAGCCGCCAUGGUCGACGGCAAGCCAUUUCCGGUGGCUCCGCCGCGGGGAAAAAGGGGUCAAUCGGUUCGCAAGGGUCUGGGGAUCACGUUGGUGCCCUUGGUUUGGCCGGAGACCUCGCCGUCGCGGAGAAAUCGCCGGUGAGAGUCGCCUCGGCCGUGAGGAAGACGACCCUGACAUGCGGGACCCGUUGUCAGUGACACUUAGUUUCCCUCCUUUUCUUUUAUUCAAAUCCAGGUUUUUGGAUUUAUUGCAAAAAUCAUAUCUUCUGUUUUUGAGAUCCAAAAAUUGUGAAACAAAUUUUGUGAGAUUCUUUGAGAUGGCUAGUUUUUAUUAAAAAUAUAAAAUGUACCAUGUUUUCUGGGAUAAAUAAUUAUUAGGAUUUAAUCUUGUUAUUCAUGUGUAAAUUAAUAUCUUUUGGUAUAUUGCUCAUUUUGCUAUGAAAUUUUUAUGGUAGUCUCUGAGUGUCAUUGGAAUGCUAUGAUAAAUAUUUCAUGAGUUUUGGAGUUCUAUAUCUGUGAUAUGUAAUUUAUGUUGAUUCUAUGGCUUGUUUUCUUAUUUAAAUCAUAGUAAAUAAUUAGUGCUUAUGCUGGUGCUCUACUCUGGUGUCAAACUUGCUUAUGGUAUUAGUAACAUGUAAAUAAUCUGAAAUCUGUUGUUUGACACUAUAUAAGCAAUUGCUCUGAAAUAUUUAGGGUAAUGCCUAGAUGCCAUGCUUGUGCUUCUGUAAUUUUUGUAGAUUUUUCUGAGCACUUUUGCAUGUAUCUUAUAAUUAUGUCCCUUUAUAGAAUUAAAUUAAUAAAUGCCUUGUUAUUAAAUGUUUUGUGGUUAACAUAUGUUGUUCUGGUAAUCUCAUAGUAUGUUUGUGCUUAUAAGUUGUGUGGUUGACACAGAGUAUGUUUUGGCUAUGUCAUUAAAUAAUUAAUUGAAGGUUUCUAGCUGUUCUGGACAGCAAGGAAGUAAUUCAACCUUUGCUUAUUCAUAACUUGGUUUUCUGGAAGACUUGUCUAAAUCAAAGUUGUUUUAAACUUUAUGAACUAGCUGUGGUUUAAAUUUGGGAUCAAUUGAUCCAAUAGUUUAAAAGUUAUGGCUUUUCCAAGUUGGGUUCCAGAAAUAGGUGUUCUCUGUUUUUCUGGGACAGAACCUGGAACGUUGUUUAAAUGACUUGUUUAACUUAUGAAUCUUGCUGUGAUGUUUAAAGAUGAAAUGUAGACAAUUUUAUGAGAUUUCCAGAAUGUCCUCAUUUAUGUUUGUUGGAUCUUUAUAACAAUAGUUAUCACCUGUUUACUGAGCUGUUCUGUUAUGUGAUGCUUGCUGUUUAUAGUUUGACUUGCUAAGUCUUGCUAGGUUAAUUAGUUAUCCUUUGUGAGUUUACGUUAGAAGUUUACUCAGUAAAUGAGUGUCCAGUGAAGUUCUAAUUGCAUUGUCAAGCAUUCAUUCCCAUCCCGUAUGCACCCAUUCUUACUUAUCAUACAUGCAAUAGGUGCACUGGAUGCGACAGCUUCUUUCGAGCUCCAGGUGAACCCCGAAGGCCAGGAGGGCAAUCCGGAGGUGGAGGUCCAGCAUGCCGGACAUGAGGAGCCCGAAGAGGAGGUUGAGUGCCCGAAUCACGAGCCGGCAUCGUUCGUGAAAGGCAAGCCUCGGAGCAUCUUAAGUCUUCCACUUAAAUUUCAAAAGCUUAUUUGAUUAUGUUAUCUCUAUUGAUGCAUUACGUAUAGGAGUUGUGAUGAAACCCUUGCUGCAUUUUAUUCAAUCCUUGUCCAGAUAUCUUACCACUACCUGGGUAUAGAGUUAGGAUCGAGUAGUGGCUUAGACAUGCUUUAAUCGGUAGCAGUCGGGUGAUAUCCUAUCACCUACGCGAGAUAGGGUUGGGUCGGAUCACGAUUGUCUAUAUGUGCUAUCGUGGAAGGAACCUGAUUAAAAUGACUUAAGCCGGGCGGAGUUUUGCAAGGUUGUAGUAACUCCGUCUGUGGCAGCUAAGGACCGAUCGUUGUACGUCCUCUUGUCAUUUUGAACGCAUGCUUAACACUUAGUUGGCCGGAUAACUCGUUCCGACCACGAAGCCUAGUAGUAUGACUCAGGCCAGAAGACCGGCAAGUAUAAAGUGUGCACUACCGGACGAAGUACGGUGUGCGGGGGACCAUUGGCGUAAGACCAAAGGCAUGUGAGUUAAAAUUCCUAACCUCUCUGACAGAGUGGUAGCCCUGGGAGUGCGGCGCUGAUCGGAGCCUCGAUUUCUGAGUUGUACCAAAGGUGACCCGCUGGCUCUCCGACGGGGGAUGCUUGGGUGAGUGCUAGGAAUAACCCUCCAGCUGGAUAGGAAUCGAUUCGAAUCGCCGUCUCUCCCGAAUAGUGAGAACUUGACAGAACAGCGGCAAAUGUAGCAUCCACUAAUGAACAUUGGUUCGUGAUAAUAAUGAUAACAAGAAAGAGCAUAUGAUGAACUUGACAUGGUUAUUAUUGCUUGUAAUAAUCAAGUGAUGUGUUUUAGUACAGGUGCCAAUCUAGUGGUAGGCUAAUGAUAAUUAAUAUGAUACUUUUACAAGCACGUAGCUACCAAUUAAGCUUUUGGCAACUGUUGAGUCAACCAGCUCCACUUUAUACUUAGCCUUGCAUGAUCCUUGGUGUCUUUUAUGUUUUACUAGACGGGUAAGUCUAGCUGAGUACAUCGUCGUACUCAGGGUUUAUUCCCCACCUGUUGCAGAUGAUAUAUUUUAUGAUGGCUUCUGCAAGACCUGUCUCCAUCCCGCUGGGGACGAGGACUAAACCGUUGGGCACGGUUCUCUAACUACUUCGUACCUGUUGCUUUUGGAUGGAUGGCAUAAGACUCUGGCUAUAACAAGAACUUGUGAACUGAACUUUGGAAUGUGUGUUGUAAACUAAUUUGCUUCCGCUACUACAAACAUGUGUUGUGAUAACUAAGUAACUCCGAUGUGGUGCCGCUUCGACGGCAAUGAAUGACUAUGUAACAUUCGUUGUGUUAUGUUGAACUAUUACGAUCUUGGUUUGUUGCAAGUUGGUUUGAAGUCCUUCGUGAUUUCAGUUGACUACCGGGAUUAUAUGGGCUCAAGUUUGGAAACUUGAUUGCUUGUCGAUCGUUUCUACACUUGAACUCUUAUAAUUUGGUCGGUUCUGUGACAGCUGGCAUCGGAGCAAGUUCAUCAUUAUAAAUGCAGCGUUUGCGUAUUUAAAAACAAAAAGAGUUUUUAAAUAAAAUUGUGAAAAUCAACACUUAAUUAUGCCAGUGGUCGAAUCCUCGUUGCCCAUAUAAGGACUAUAGGUGGCUAUUUAAGUAUUGACUUGGGGGGUUUUAUUUAUGCAUCUCCGGCAGUACUCCGGUAUGGAUGUGUGAUGACUGCACUAUGCUACGCUGUGGUCUAAUGGUAGAGGUAGCCUUCAUAUGUGAAUUAGCCACAUAUGUCGCUAGAUUUAAAUUAUGCAACGUCGCACCUACGCUCUAGUAAUUGUGAGCUGUGAGAGCAUGAUCGUCCAAACGGCGGUCUAGAGGAGUGUUCGCGGUGGUUUUCUGGAGUGGUUACGUGUCAAAACCAUAGAACCACGAAAGAAACUUAAUUGGGUAGUAUUUAAUUUCUCGGGUAGCUGUGGUGUCAUGGUUUGUGCAUGUUGGGCAUGUGCAAGCGAUGUGCACUUAGUUUACUGCUUUCUUGAGUGAUAUAUUGGGAAUUGUUGGGCUGCAAUGAAGAUUUCUGCAGGUACUCUAACAGCGCACGUGUUGCUAGUUAUCGUAUCGAGAGACGAAUGUAUGCCACCGUAUAUCCGUUAGAAUAUUAAUUUUCUAAGUUUGCGAGGACGUAAGGUUCGUGCAUGCAUCAUGUCACAUUCAUACAUACAUUCUAUUUACUCCUUCCCUUACAAUGUCGUCCCUUUUAAUUAAAUAAAUGUUACUUAAAUUAAUCAUCUCUUACCCAUGGUAUUCCUAUUCCUUUCCACAGAUGGACGUGCCCGCUUCACCUCGCCCAGUGACACCUUCUUGAGCGAGUUUGGCACUCCUACUUUGCUCUGGAGGGUGCUGCAGUCUGUAGGAUAUACUGAGCCACCUCAGUAUUCUUGGUGGGAGGUGGAUAUGAUAGGAGAGUUGCAGUGGUUUGCGGUGCAGGGAGUUGUCCCUCCACAUGGGAGCAGGCCUGCAUGGACUGGGUGGACCUGUAACUCAGAUGGGCAACAUCAUGGGAAGCACCUCAAGUUGCAGCCCAUGCUAUGCUGCUCAACAUCUGUCAGAGGUUUGGUGAUGAGUUAACAGGAGGGCCAGCGGCCUCCAUUCCCCAUGCUAACCCAGCAGCAGCAGAUUGGAAGCAGGCUGAUGGUUGUAUGUUGGUCCGAGGUAGAGGAGAGCGAGCUGAGAGUUCCGGUCCUGCUAUGAGUGCUAUGAUGGUUGUGCUCAAGCUGUUCAGUCAGCGAGAGGACACCUAUGCACAGGUGAUGGUGGCUGUUCGCUAGGCUCAGGAGAUGCAACAGAAGGUUGAAAAGCGUGCUCACAAGUUUCGCAAGCAAGCUAGACUUCUGGAGCAAGCUGGGAAGACAUUGCGGAACACCGUAGACAGCAGUGGGUGAAGGCCAUUAGAGAGAGAUGAUAAACAUGAUCAGAUGAGUCAGUUAGCUAGAGAGAGGGAGAUAGUGCAGGAGCGCUUGUUGCAGAUCACUCGUGAGAGGGAUACUGCGCUCCGUGUGUCGGAGAACAGGCGCCGGGAGAUGCACAGGAUCCAGUCGCUUGAGCAGGAGAACUAUCUACAGGAUCUGAGGCUAGUCUUGUGGAGAUUCACCGUCUCAACAACUUACUACACCCUAUUCCUCGCCCUGUACCCGUGUAUCUGGAGGUGGGACCUCAGGUGAUUGUGGCCGAUGAUGAUGGUAUGGAGGUCGGCGGACCAGCAGCGGCUGCACCACCCUUGCACGAGGACAUGGAGGACGAGGAGAUUGAGCCAGUUAGCGAUGAGGAUGGAGAGGCGAUCUUCGACGCUGACUCGGGCGAUGAGCCUGGAGUGUAGUGGGUAGUGGAUAGUUGUUAUGUAAGCAUCUUUUGUAGUAUGGCAGUCAGUAGUGGUGCUUUUGUAAUCAUGUUGUAAUCCGGAAUCUUGAUCUUUGACUCAUGUCAUGUACUGUGAUGGUGUAAUAACUUUAUGGACCCAAUGUGUAACCUUAACAUGUUCGAUCGGUUAUGACGAUGUUUUUCUGUGUUGUGCAUAUUAUGGAUAUCUCUGUCAUGUGUUGGAUUGGUGAUGUUGUUUUAUGGAAUUGAAUUAUUGUGCCUUUUCUGUAAAGCUAUUCUCUCGAAUACUUUUAGGCAUGAAUAUAAGUUCUUCUAUGGCAAAUCUUGUCAUCAUCAAUACUCAUUGACUGUAUUUUUACAGAUGUCUCGUUGCACUCGAGAUGCGGAACAAUGUACGAACAUGAACCCACCCCCUCCUCCUCCACCACCAAAUCCAGCUGAGCUGAUGCAAAUGAUGGUGGAAAACCAGAGGAUGCUUACUGAAACCAUCAAUCGGAUGGCAAAUCAGGGUGGUCGGAAUGUACAAGAAGGGCCAGCACCUAAUCAGUACAGUAGCUUCAAGGAUUUCAUGGAUACAAAGCCCCUGUUGACGGUCCUUAAUGCUCACAUUUAACCAUCAACUAAUCAUGGAAAAGGAUCCAAAUGCAACCAACACCUAGACUUAGGGUUUUAUCUGACAGAAUUCCACGAGUUUUGGUGUUUGUCUAUUUCUGCAGGGGGUUAUCAGGAAAUACGGAAGAAAGGCCCACACGUCGGGUUUACAUAGAGAUAUUAACGUGCCGCGUAAUUUUCUAGCAUCUAGAAGACUCCAGAAGCCACGGGAGCGAACUGGAAGGCGAUCGGGCUCGGAGGCAGGGCGCCCGCCCUACUCUCCUGGGCGCCCGCCCUGCUACAGUGCCCAAUCUGGGUCAACUUCGCGGAUCGUGCUCCACCGACUCUAAGGAUCGAGGAAAAUCACACGAUUAAGGUCGGUUUGAUCGAAUGGUGGAGAAUAACGUGGAAAUUCCUUGGGAGCUACUCUUCCUAGAUUUCUUGGGAGCUACUCUUCCUAGAUUUUUUGGGGGCUACUCUUCCUGGACUAUAUAAGCAGACCCCCACCAGCCCCUGGAGGCAUACCUCUUCUACAGAAUCAAAGUUAGGGUUUCAAUUCUUCAUCCAAGUAGAGAGGAUCCCUCUAGUUCUUCUAGUUCUACCUCUAGUUCAUCUAGUUCUAGUUCUAGUUCCUCUAGUUCUAGUUCUAGUUAGUUCUAGUUGUAAUCUAGAAAAUAGGGAGAGAGAAGAGGAGAGCGGAGGAGGAGCCGGAUCUGUCGGAUCUUCCUCAACAUUGUACAUUUGUAGCAACUGGUUCGUUUUUCAUCGUUCUCCAGGUUCUUCAAUUCAUAAUCCUGAGUUCUUUAAUUACUUUUAUUUACAUUCAAGUUAUUUAUUGGAUUCCCGCUUGCAUCAAGUGCUCUAAUCUUUGCAACAUUAGAGUAGUAAUUAAUAGAUUAGACGUGGUGUUUAGUCUUGCAAUUACCUGGAAUUGCACCCAAUCCUACGGAUUGUUGUGGUAGCCCUAGGGUAGUGACAGCCCUAACGGUAUCCGUGAUUCUUAAUUAGUACACUCACGUUCCCUGUGGAAAAUCGAUACUCUGGAAUACUCCCGGGUGAAAGCUACAUCGGUAUCCGUGCGCUUGCGGAUUUUUUCUGUUUGCGUUUAAAAUACCCAACAAGCUUUCUGGCGCCGUUGCCGGGGAACGGUAGCUGUGCUAGUUUUGAACCAAGUCGUCCGUGUAUUUUUUUCCUUUUCCUUUUUUUUACCACACUCACCUUACCAUUUUCACCACACCACAUGGAUUUCACUCCUAUUUAUAAAUUCUUUGCUCCAAAGGGCGAGUUAUUAGAGCCAUUACCAUCAUCACAUCCAAUUCUUAUAGAUGGCUACGACCUCAGCCCUAAUCUAAUAGCCAUGAUUCAGGAGCAACCCUUCUCUGGGCAAGUAGAUGAAGAUCCAUACACCCACCUUAGAGAAUUCGAGCAGUUGUGUUCUUGCCGAUCUAUUUCCGGCAUGACACAAGAAACCCUUAAAUGGAAAUUAUUUCCGUUCUCCCUUUUGGGAAGAGCAAAAAAGUGGUAUGCUCAUUCUGUAGGAGGUGUUAAUGGAAGUUGGGAUGAACUUGAGACAACUUUUGUCUCGCUUUCUUCCCACUUUUUCGAAUUGCUGACCUUAGAAUUGAAAUUCUUACAUUCAAACAAAGAGAGAAGGAAACUUUAGGAGUAGCUUGGGCUAGGUUCACAAGCCUUACCAAUUCCGGUCCAAACCUUUCCCUGCCUGACCAUGUACUGUACUACCACUUUUAUCGUGGUCUAAACAAGGAAGCUGCUCUUCACCUUGACAUUGCUUCAGGAGGCUCAUUCACACACAAACUCACAGAUGAGGGGGGAGCUAUCCUAGAAAGAAUUCUUGAAAAUACCCCUUACACAGGCAUUUAUGAUGAGUUUCCUGAAGGAGAAAAAGAAGUCGAGCCUGAUCCUAAACAAAAAGAUGAGGAACUUGCAACCGAGUUAGAAAUUCCACCUGACCCAUCCAUUAAUUUGGUUGUAGAGAAACCUCCUGAUAAAGGAAUGCAAAACCAACUAAGGGAUGAUGAACCACCACCUUUAGAGCAUCCCUUUGAAUUCGAGGAAGAUCUUUUUGAAGAUUUUGGAAACACCUCGAAUUUUCCUAUCCAAACAGGACCUCUAGCAAGGACCACUCAAUCCAUUCUAAGAGUAGAAUCUGUUGACAUAGAACACAUCAAAAGCCUUUCGGCUAUCCUGAGUUAUGAAUGGCUAACAGAAGCAGAGCUGUCUCUUGAGGUAGCUCGAAUCGUCACUCCUUCAACCAAUCUUCUGUGCCAAAUUAGAAGGUCCGCUAGGAAGGUCCACUACAAUCCAGAUGUUGGGAUAAAUGUUAUUUCCAAGGAGUUAGCUGACACUAUUUAUCCCAACGAGUCCAUAACCCCAUCUCAAAAACUUUUACAAAGUCCAUCUAGAUUAAUUCUAGAAAGCCAUGGGGUAUUAAGGGCAGUUCCUGUUAGAAUCAAGGACUCUGGAGUAUGUCUACAUUUUCACAUUUUUGACAUACCAGAUGUUGAUGGUCCUUAAGUAUCAAAUUUAAUUAUCAAAUAAACAAAGAAAAGGAUCUAAAUGAAAUCAACAUCUAGACUUAGGGUUUUAUCUGACAGAAUUCCACGAGUUUUGGUGUUUGUCUAUUUCUGCAGGGGGUUAUCAGGAAAUACGGAAGAAAGACCCACACGUCGGGAUUACAUAGAGAUAUCAACGUGCCGCGGAAUUAUUUUACAUCUAGAAGACUCUAGAAGCCACGGGAAGGAAGCGGAGGCCGAACGGAGCCAGGACCUGGGCGCCCGCCCAAGUCCUUAGGGCGCCCGCCCUGCUAUAGUGGCCAAUCACGUUCAACCUCGUGGAUUAUGCUCCACCGACCUAAAGGAUCAAGAAUAACCGUUCAAUCAAUGUCGGUUUGAUCCGAUGGCCCAGGUUCACUUGAGGGGACUAUAUAACCAGACCCCCUGGCCCCUGGAGGAGGCACCCCUUGAUCAUUAUUCAUUAUUCAUAGACAGAGCAAAAGUUAAGGUUUAGAGAUGAGAGCUCUCCUCACUUCUCUAAACUAGAAUAGAUCUAGAUAGUAGCAAGAUGGAGAGCGAAGGAGGAUUAGAGGAGAGGCCGGCCUAUCGAUUCUUCCUCCGGUUGUACUUCGUCAUGAUCAAGCUCUAAUCAAGCUUGCUCAUGGGAUGACUCUGGUAAUCUACUUCUAAUUCAUUAUGCAAUUACUAAUUAUGUAUGUUCUGGUUCACAACUCUUUUGAGUACUUUAAUCUAUAGGACGCUAUAGGUGAGAGUUGUAGUAUAGGUGUAAGCGUGGUGCUUAGACCUAGAUUACUUGUGGAUAUCCCCUGUCUAGCUGGAUCGUGUGGUAGGCCGCGUAGGUGACAGUUACGUUGGUUCUCUGUAGUCCACCUCUCGUUAGCAGGACGGGUAGGGUUUAUCGGCCUAAGGAUAAGCAUCCUUUGUGGUGUACUCUUAUCACGUGGUUCAUCCCAGACAUAGACAUACCCCUUUGAAGUAGAGAAACCAUAGUUAUCAUCUCUAUUCUGGUACCAUCGCCCAUAUACUAGAAUUGCUCUACUCUCUAUUCCCAUAUUAUCACUCACUGUUAUCUUACCUUUAAUAUUGUUCUUAUUCGAUUCUACCAUCUUUCCUAUUUACACUUAUUUACUUAUCAUGGUUAAGUUAGAGCGUAGAUCAGUUCUCCCGUUUCCCUGUGGAUACGAUAAAACCUUUAACCGGGUAAAAGCUUCAACGGUAUCCGUGCGCUUGCGGAUUAUCUGUGUGCAUAUAAAUACCAUAGUACACUCUAGUGCCAUGUUGGGGAUGGCAACCUAGUAUUCAAGUGGUGUUAGCAAGUGUCAACAAGCAUUUUCGGCACCGUUGCCGGGGAAACGGUUGCUGAGUUGUCUACGAACUAGCUUAAUCAUUUUCUAAAAAAUAAAAAAAAUUAUUAAAAAAUAUAUAUAUAUACUUUUCCUUUUAUCUUUUGCCUUAUCUCUGCUGUUCUUUCUUCUUAUCUAAUCCUUGAUCUCUGGUCUAUCAUGAAUUCAAACAUGUCUAUCUAUGAAUUUCAUAGACCUACGGGCACACAUCUCGAACCACCAAAAUCUUCAAAGCCUAUCAUAGCAUCUAGUUUUGAGAUAGACCCCGAAUACAUAGAAUUUGUUCAAAAACAACCUUUCUAAGGAGAAGGUGAGGAAAACCCAUACACACACCUAAGAGAGUUUUAUCGAGUCUGUGACCUCCUUCACAUAGAAGGAAUGUCCGAUGAGACCCUCAAAUGGAAGCUCUUUCCGUUCUCUUUAACGGGAAAAGCUAGACAUUGGUACAAACUCAAAGUAGGGAGUGUUCAUGGAGAUUGGAAGGAGUUACAUAAUAGUUUUCUUUUAAAAUAUUUUCCAACCUCUAAAGUGGCAGAACUUCGGCGUGAGAUUAUUUCUUUUAGACAACUGGAAGAAGAAUCUCUUGGCAAAUCAUGGGACCGCUUUAUUACCUUACUCUCACUGGCCCAAAGCUUUCUAUUCCAGAAGAAGUUCUUCUAAUUCACUUUUUUGAGGGCCUUAGUGGGGAAAACAAGCAAACAUUGAAUACAGCCUCUUGAGGAUCCUUCUAUCACCUACCUGCUAGUGAAGCUUGGAAUUUGAUUGAUUUAUUAAGUGGAAAGUCUCCUAGCUUUUAUAUCCCUGAGAAAGAGAAAGAACCAGUUCCUAGACAAGAAGAAGAAGUUUCGAUAGCCAGAUCACAACCACUUCAAUUCCAAACUUUAGCUAUCGAUCCUAAACCAUCAAUUCCCCAAAAUUCUCCAAGGGAGGAAGGAAUUCCGACCUUAAUCUUUCAGAUGCUGAUGGUUUAGACUUCUAGUUCCAUAAGAGACCUUCAAGCAGGGAUAAUUCAAAUCCUCGCAAUAAUGGUUCUCUUAGAGAAUGUCCUGGUUCCUGUUAUGAAGAAGUCGAGGAUGAUAUAUCAAGUGAAGGAGAGCUAAGCCAUAUUGAAAAUUCUAACACCUCCCCUUUCCUGAUCACAAGUUCUAAAUGGCUAGAAUGUGUAGAAUGGAUGGAUAAGUAAGAAGCCUUAAUGAAUUCUGACUUUGGUUCAAUUUCAAAUGGUGAGUUCUUGACUCCCUUUGAAGAUGGGAUUCAUCCAACUAUAGAAGAGGACAUAAGUGAGACCAAUCUAAGAGGAACUUUGAACAUUCAGAUUAGAGACGAAGAUGGUUCAAUUUAUUUCAUAGCCACUUUGUUUACUCCAUGCUCAUAUGCAACAUCUUCCCAAUCUAUUGGUCUCUCCAACAUCAAAACAUUUGAGAUCUCCAAUCCCCUCUUCCUUUCUAUUUAUAAAAACUUUAAAAGGGCGGUUGUCGAUGCAUAUGUCUAUAAUAAAUAUUGCAGAUCUCGUUGAGAUGAUCUUGAUUUAGGUCAGCGUUGGAAGGGAAACCACUUCGCCGACAUAAAUUGAUGGUUUCCCAAGGACAAGCUUAGUGUCAUAAAAUAAGCACAGAUCAGAUCGUAACAUGAGCUUUUAAUUAUUUACAACAUUACCUUGUGUAUUGAGCAUAUAAGGAUAAUUGUAAAAAUAUUCCUUUGGGUAUUCUUGUGACUAACCUUUCCAGGAUUGGAACAAGAAGAUCAGAUGAAUGACAAGCAAGUACGAGGUAUGUCCAACCAAUCAUCAUGCAACACUGAAUUAAAUUCAUCCAAACUUGAAUUCUGCAAAAUUCAAGCUUGGGGGAGUACUUUACAUAAAAACAUCCUUUGCCAUGUUGCUAUGUUGGUUGUCCCUACCUUUAAGACAUGCUGAAUUUGUUAAAUACUAAUCACACUACUUCAUCUCCACUGGAGUAGAUCUCUAUAAAUGUUGUCAUGUUACCUUUGUCUAUUUACUAGUAAGUGUUAGUUUGGAAGUACUGCACAUACUUCUAUUGGCUUUUAAAUUAAGCAUGGUGCUUAGGUUAAACAGCCUUCCUUAAUCUAAUUAGACAUGGAGUCUAGUUCGGUUAUUGAACUAAAAACUGCUUGUGUAGACAUUUAGUAUAUUUUUGUCAGACUAGCCCCUGCAGAAAAAAACUUUCAAUAUCGAUUUGGGAAGUCCUGAGAUAAACUCACAUCAGAGACGAAGAGAGUGACACAUGAAGUUUAACAAUUUGCACAAGAAGGACAUAGCUCAUUCAUCAUAGAGAGAUGAUUCAUGGAGGGUGCCACAAACACGAUGCACAACCGCUAAGAAAGGAAAGCUUCCACAAGGUGAUACUGUACCAUCACUCUUCAAGCAAGGUAAUAUCUUAAGGUACUUGACUAUCACUUUUCUAAGCUUCUCCUUGGUUCUGGCAUUCAUAUAAAUAAAAGAGACAAACAUGUAUGAUUUACAACUCUAGAUUAACCAACCCAACUGAUUCAACAUGUUUAGUCCUUUAAUCCUUGUUCUUAGUACUACCUCCAUGAUCCCACACUCCUAAUCAUAUGAGCUAAAAUGUUACGCAUUCAAUCAUUGAGAGAUAUAAAGAAAAAGACAUAUACAUAGAUAGAUUAACUUUCCAUAAGGUUAAGCGAUCUGAUCUGACAAAUGUUAUAAGUGCUACACUCAUAAACUUAUCAUCCAUCAACUUUGUCUUGCUCACCAUGCUUAAGGUUAGAGAAGAACAAAUACAUUUUUGGUUCUGUUGGUGUUUUCCACCAACAGGACCCAUGCACUUGAUCUCUGCCUUGUCUCUAUGAGCAGGUACACUUCGAGCAAAACACGGAGGAGUUUUAUAACUCUCAGACUCUACCAAGUGAAGGACCUGGAUCUACGAGCACAAACACACUGAGAAGGAUACUGCCAACGCCGCACUUCGAACUGUUGGGCAAACGAAGAGGUGCAGACGUCAAGGUCCGCACCUGAAUCAAAUGACGCAACACGGUGAGAAGUCUUGUUAAGAAGACUUAAAACAUUGAACCCUUGCCGAAAGGUAAGAUCAGUAGUUAUUCAUAUUUAUCCUUUCUGCAUUCCCUUUUCCCUUUAAUUAUUUACUUUCCUUAAAUAGAUUAUUAGUUAAUCAUGCUAUCUUGAAAAGAAAAUAAAAAUGUUAAAAAAAUACUAAGCCCCAUGUGAGUAUACGAGUGGCAUAAAACCCAUAAGUACCUUCACUGUGGUGGCAUAAAAAUAAAAUAAAUAUUUCUUUUCUGCUUUAUAAAAUAAAAAUAUAAAAACAGGGAGUAAUAUUUAUUGAGGAAGCUCAACAUGGUGAUGAAGGUUAGAUAUUUAUGCUAACACUUAAUUAGUUCCACAAGCAUUGUUGUCUAUUUGAGCUCCACAGAAUUUAACAAUCAAGAAGACUAGUAGACGGAGGACAUUCUAAUCGCUGUCAGAAUGCUGCUGACUUUCAAAUACACCUCUGCCACCUGCUAGCCACAUCAAGAGAAAUUACAUCAAAAUUCAGCUUGGGGGAGAGCACCCCCAUUUAUCUCGCUAAGUAUUUCUACCUAUCUUUAUACUUAUAUUAUAUUAGAAUAUUAAAAUACAUAAACUAUGAAAAACCAAAUAAAGAUUUUGUGCUUAUAUAUAUAUAUAUAUCUUUUGCUUAGUGUGUUUAAUAAAUAAAUAAAGUGGCUAUGCUAAUCUGAAUCUUAAUAAUAAAACUCUAGCAUGGAUAUGAUGAAUAGUUGCUCUGCCUAAUUUGCAAAUUUAAAGUUCUCUCUCAAGUUUAGACAUAACUGUUAUAAUUUAAAGCUUGCUCUAGAUCUAAACUUGUGGGAUGAAAACUUGAUCUGAAAUCUAAGUUGUUAACGGAUAUGAUAUGGGAAGGUUGAGCUGCUGUUUAUCUGUUCCUAGACAUGCUAGAAUUUUGGAGAAUUUUAUCUUUGAAAAAUCUUUAAAAUAUUGCAUGAUGAGUUCCUGUAUGAUGAGAGUUUAAAUUCCUACCACAGCCAUAUAUACAUGCUUGCAAGAUUUCGAGCCACACAAUUACUAUUUACUGCUUAUGAGCAUUGAGUGUGGUCAAGCUGUGUAGACCCUUAGGUGCUUGUCAUGUGGUUAAAUCAAGAUCCACUUGCACGUUCACUCAUAUAUGCUACUUCUACUCCGGAAGUACCAUCCACAUAUACCCAUCCAUGUCCAUCUUGAGAACCACCCAAAAAUAUUCUACACCUAAUCCGGGAGAGAAUAGCCAAAAAUAUUUCGGUUUUCCCUUGUGAAAUAAAUGCUCAAGUUAUCUUGCUACUACCAUUUGCUAUAUUAUCUCAAGAGAUGAGUGCUCUGAAAAAAGAGAAGAAAAGAAAAAAAUAAAAUAAAUGAGGAAAUAAAAAGGGGCAAGUGCCCGGAACCUCGAAAGAAAGAAAAAGUGAGACGAGAGGUAAAAAUGGACAAGUGUCCGAUAGUAGAAUUAGGGGUACAAGAUACCCACCUGAGAGGAAAGAAAAAGAAGAGCAUCUCAUUCUCCUCAUAAAGUUUCAAAAAGCAAGGAAGGUAUGUAUCCCCUCAAAAGAGCAAAAGUAGAAUUAGACUUUCACCAUUGUUAUCACCAUCAUCACCAUACACCAUUCAUUCGCCACACAUGCACAUCUUGAUUUGGCUUAUUGAUUUGUUUUUUUGGAUCCAUGGUUUGACUAUACAAUAAAUGUCUUGUAAGUAUGUAUACUUUAUCUCCCACCUAUGAGCUCUAGAUAUUAAAGCCUUAUUAGAGUAGGGUGAGAGAGAAGGCAAUGUCACUAUGCCUUAUACCACAAAUACCACAUAUCUUGAGAGAAGGCAUAUACCAUCAUUGCCUUGGUAAGGAUCCAGAAAUACCACAAAAGAGAGAUUUAGAUAGUCAUACAAGGAAUCUCUGAGUUUUAUUUGAAAAUCUGCAAAAACUCCAGAGCUAUAGCUGAUCAAGAAUAAGAGACAUGGCACUUGGCUAGACUGUUCUAUCUUUUAAUUACUCAAGACAGAAGUGACGGUUACAAGUCCCAUGGUGAAAGGUAAAGUAAGUAAGUUUUAGUUCUUGACAGUUUACUCUAACUCAGAGAUGAGAUCUUAUUUAAAAGCAUGUGUACCGUCAAAUUUUUAAGAUAUUGCAACAACU